CUGCGCCAGUGUUGACCGCAUACAACUCCGCGUCAUAUUCGCAUCCACCAUCUUCGUAGCAUUGAUCUGCAUCCCUUCUUCUCCUUUGUGGAUCUCCCUUCCCACUGCAGUCUGCACGUUCGCGGUUAGAGAUGCUGUUAUGUUAUGUUAUGUUUAUUUAAAUUUUACAUUAAGCUUUCCAUAUUUCUUAAAUAAAUUUAAAAUGAAAUAUUUAAUAGUAAAUUAACGGAAUUGACUAUAUUGGUUAACGAUUUGAAACUCGAUAAUCAAAUCGGCCAAAAUAAAGAGACGGAAACUAAAAUUGACCCAACAGGUAAAAUGCACAAACCAUUUUUAACAUUUAAGCGAAUUGACAAAGCAAUAAACAAUAACGUAACGAGUAGUUACAACAAAAGGGAGAACGUCUUUGCGCCAGGGAUCAGGAUCCUCUCCUGAGCAAAUGGAGAGGAUCCUCCUGAUCGGGCUCAUCGGGCCGUUCAAAAUUUAUCCAACGGCUACAAACAGAGGGCUCCACUAAAAGUUAUAAUAAUUAUAACCGUUGGAUAACUUUUGAACGGUCCGAUGGACCCGGUCAGAAGGAUCCUCUCUAUUUGCUCAGGAGAGGAUCCUGAAUCCUUGCGCCAGAACUACAUCUUUUCGCGGAACCAAAAAUUGACGGCUCAGAUUCAGUGAACAGAGUCAAUCCGAGCCUUCAAUCCUCUCCCCAUUCUGUCCCAGAUCGGCGCCGUGCAAAACCAGCCGGUCCGUAUUUUCGGAGACAAAGCAUACAUUAAUAUAAUUACAAAACCCCACCUUUUAGCCGUAUUUUCAGUUAUACCCCUACUUUUUUCUUUUUCUUUUCAACAAAAUAUAUUAAUUAUUUUGAGCUUCGAGUUCCUCGGCGAGCUCAGCCUAAAAAAUACAGCUUUUGUUGCUUUCUGCCUAAUGGAAGGGUCCUAAGCUCUCUCUCUCUCCCCUCUUCCUCUCCCCUCUUUCUCUGCUUUUACUUUGAUGCUUUGUUUGCAUUUUCUUUGAGAAUUCAGAAAAAGGGUUCGUCGGUCUUCUCUUCCUUGUCUGAUCCACACAAGUUCCCCAGGUGCGUGCUACCAAUAUUCCCAUUUUUUAUUUUGUUUUCCUGCUAAUUCAAAACCUUUGUUUUUACAGUCUUAAUUAAUAUUUGUGUAUAAUUUAGUAUAUGAUUUUGCAGCUGAGCUUUUUUUUCUUUUUUGACUUCUGGGUCGUUUUGUUCUGAGAUCUUGAUGCUCUGUAUGUUUUGGGUUCGUUCUGAAAGCUCAGUGUUUUGUGAUUUCUCUGUAACCUUGCCUCUCUCUCUGGUUUGAUUUUUAUUUAUUUAUUUUUGGGUUUUUUGUUUUUUUCAGUUGCAUAUUGUUUUGUUCAAUAUUCGGAGUAAAUUCCUGGAGCAUUUCAGCUUAAUUUGCUAUCCUUUUUUUGGACUUUUAUAUAUCGCAGUGGAUCUGUACAAUUUUCUUUUUAAAAGUUGUUUUAACAUUUUUUUUGCAUUUUCUGUUUGGUUUCCUAGAAAAUUUAGGGAGAUGAGAAAAAGGAGAUUAUUUUUUUAUUUUUUAUUUUAAUUUUUAAAUGGUAAAGCUUAGCUCAUGCAAGCAAAAUGCUAAAUACCCAGUUGACCUUUUUCCUUUCCAAGAAAGUAUAAAUACGGAUUCACUUAUCAAUUUGUUUAUAAUGUGCAUUUGGUUUAGUUUCUGAUGGAAUCACAUCAUAAAGUAGCAAAAUUUCCUAUUAAGCUUGUGAGGUUGAACUUAUGGAGGAUACUUGUGUUUGUUCCAACCUUUCGUUGCCGGUGAAUUUACUAUUCCAUUUUUGGUAGGAUUUUCAUGUCCUAGUUUCUUCUUGAGAUUCCUUCAAUCUUACAACUAUCUUAGGCUGUUCAUAACGUAUUGUGUAAUGGUUUGGGUUUGUUUGAAUUUACCGAGUUUUUUUAUACGAGCGGUAUUUGGGGGAGGGAAAAUCGAACCUAGGAUCUCGGGUGCAAGGGUAAAUGCUCUUAAGCGCUUGAGCUACAAACCCCUGGCAUCUGAACCUUUAGCUUGGACUAUGGUGGCUUGUGGUUUGAUCUGAAGCCAUAUAAAUAUAUGUUCUCUGGUACAUUGAUUAUAUGUGCAGACCAGUGAGCACUUUCCCAAUUUGGGGAUUUUUUUUUCCUUCAUGGAUUUGAUUGUAUUUCGACUAAUCUACAUUUCCCAAAUGGAUCCUGUCAAAUAUUUCUAUUUUUCCUUUAGAUUAUUCAUAUAUAUAUCCUUUUGAGUUUCAUUUCUCACUGGAAACUAUUCUAGGAGAAGCUUGAAUCUGUUCCGUUGGGAUAUUGAUCUGUCUUGGUUUAAUAUGGUAUACGUGUUACUGGUUUCUGGAUAGCCACUGUUUGUUUUAUCAGAUAGUUUUGUGACUUUUGUCUUUUGAAAACCCCUUUAUUCAUGCUCACAAUUAUUUUGAUGGGAAAAUCAUGAUGAGAAAAUUCAUGAUUCUCUGUUCAUAAAAUUUUCUAGGACUCACUCAAUGUGAAUUUAAUUUCCAUUAGAUGAGACAGUUAAACCUUAAACUAAGCUUUCUCCAUCUUGUGCUGUUGGGAUUUUCAUGUUUUGGUUUUGCUGGUAGUUUUACAAGCAAUGAAUCUGAUAAUUUGGUUCAUAUUGUUUCCCUAUUGCAAUAGUGUAGUUGCUAAUGUCUCCACCACUAUUGGGUGGUGAGGAGGAAGGGCAGAGCAAUGGGUCUAUGGUAGCUUUUUCACGCUCUAUGGACUGCAUCUCUCAAAACAGCUCUGGACUGAAAGAACGUAACUACCUAGGAUUGUCAGAUUGUUCUUCAGUCGACAGCUCCACGGUCUCGAACUUGUCAGAGGGGACUAAGAACAAUCUGAACUUUAAGGCUACGGAGUUGAGGCUCGGCCUUCCUGGAUCCCAAUCACCAGAACGGGAACCUGAUCUUUGCUUGUUGAACUCGGGGAAACUUGACGAGAAGCCACUGUUUCCUUUGCUUCCUUCAAAAGAUGGAAUCUGCUCCUCAUCACAGAAGAAUGGCAACAAAAGGGGUUUUGCUGACACUAUGGAUGGAUUCUCAGAGGUGAAAAGUAAUGCAUAUACUGAAGGAAAUUGGAUGUUUCAUGCAGCUGGCUCUGAUUCUGAAUCUCCAGAAUCUGUUGGACAAGGGAAGUUUCCUGUGAAUUCAAUCAAUGUAAUGCUAUCAUCCAGGCCUUCUGGGUGUCAGCCAACCAUAACAAAAGAAGCACGCACUAAACAAGAACAAUCUAAUGCUACAAACGGAGGCAACCAUAACCCUUUGGGUGCUUCUAACAAUGGAAGUGCCCCAGCUGCUAAGUAAGUUAGAAUUUUAGAUGGACGACUUUGAAGCUUUAUAUAAAAUCUGUGGUUUGUUCGUAAUUGUAUCUACUUUCGGUUGGCAGGGCACAAGUUGUUGGAUGGCCUCCAAUUAGAUCAUUUAGGAAGAAUUCUCUAGCCACUACAUCAAAGAACAAUGAUGAAGUGAAUGGAAAACCUGGUCCCGGUGGACUUUUUGUCAAGGUCAGCAUGGAUGGGGCUCCCUACCUGAGGAAGGUAGACCUGAGAACCUACUCUACAUAUCAAGAUCUGUCUUCUGCUCUGGAAAAGAUGUUCAGCUGUUUUACCAUAGGUGAAUUACUGCUCUACUUUAUUUAAUAUUGAUAUCAUAUCUUUACAUAUAGAAAAACAAUCCAUUUCUGCAUGGACCCUAUUUCCACACUUUUCUAUUGUGAUUUCAGGGCAAUACGGGUCCCAUGGAGCUCCGGGGAGGGAAAGACUGAGUGAGAGUAAGCUGAGAGAUCUUCUUCACGGAUCAGAAUAUGUUCUUACAUAUGAGGACAAGGAUGGUGACUGGAUGCUUGUUGGGGAUGUCCCAUGGGAGUAAGUUCUAAUAUUCCUGUAUUUUUCUGAUUGAUUUCCACAGGGAGAAUUUUUUAAACUGUUAUAGUGCAUAAACAUUGUUUCAUUAUUUCCCAAAGUUGAAGCCUUUUGUUUGUACAACAUAUAUUUUGAAGUAAAAUGACCCUUCUCACACAAACAACAGUAAAAGUUUGAUGUAUCGCGGUACAAUUUACAUGUAUGGGUUAUAAGCGGGGAACAUUAGGAUUCCCCCAUCAAUGAGAGGGAGGACUUCCCUUAUGGAAGGUGAUACUUUUUAUUUUUUAUUUUUAAUGAACAGUAAUAAAAAAUAAAUUAUGAGAAGGGUGAGAGUUUUAUUAAUGAAAUGCUUCAUUACUCCAUUGUCAGGAGGGCGAUACUGUAUUGUAAACUUGCAAGAAACUAGAGAUCUUAAUCGUCUGAGGGACUGGAUUCUAAAUUAAUCUACAUUUAGUCCUUAAUCUCCAAUUCAUCGACUAAAGCUUAUGUUGACAGGAACAACAAAAUUUGUGAAAGCAUACAUGAAUCUUGUUUACAAACAUAUAAAGUUUUGAGGCCCAAUUGAACCCUUGCAUAAACUAUUUAAUUUACACUUUAUUUUCCACAUUUAUUUUUAGUAUUUCUUCUAAAAUAAAGUACAAAAAGAUGAUAACUUGUAGAAUUAAAAUUAAAGUAUUUCAAAUGCUAAACUGACUCAUAAACUUUUGAAAAUGUGAUAGCCUUGUUCAGGAAUAUGCUGAAUUAAGUUCUUCUGUUCAUUUCUAUUUAUAGAAGUUUUAUGGAUGCAAUAUUUUCAAUAGUUUUCAGUAUAUUAAGAGCAUAUCAUGAGUUUGCUCUUAUAGCUGAAAGAGGAAGAGUAAAACGUGAAACAACAAAAUUAGUUCACUAUGACGUUGAAUAUUCUAAAUCCUAUGGUCCAUGAUGCUCAUCUCGUAUAUUCGGAUUUUUUUUUUUACAGGAUGUUUAUUGACACAUGCAAGAGGUUGAAGAUAAUGAAGGGCUCCGAUGCCAUUGGUUUAGGUUUGUCUUUCUACUUUGGCGAUGACUAUUAAUUUGUACUGAUUGUGUUUAACAAUAAUCUUAUGAUUUGUUACCAAUAUUAGUUCCGCAAGAGUGUUUACGUCAGAUGGAUAUUUGGGAAAAUAAAAACAUUUAAAAGAGAUAAAAUGGGAGAUUUAUGAGGCACUGAACGAAAUGGGUGAAUUUUGUAGACAAGUGAGUUUCCUAUUUACUUCAUUAGGUGUGAUGGCAGUGCAACCUCUUAAUUGACUUGAACUUAAAGCAAAUUUAUGACAAUCUAUGUGGCCCCUCGGAGUCCUAAUGAAACAAUCUAACAAGUUAAGUUGGUAUGUUGACAUGAACUAUUUUCUAGUUCAGCUCAUAGCAUAAAAACUGCGGUAUCUGUGGGAUGUAGAAUGAUUGAAUGCGAUGGUUUCAGUUUUCAUGCUUUGUUGCCAUGCGCUUCAUUUAGCCUUACCAGAAGACGCCUGCAUUUUUUUGUUCUAGUUUUAUACGGAUCUGCUGUGCAUAAUUGUAAUGUCUUAAAAUUCUAGAUUACUACUGGUUUCAGCUUAUAGUUUUACGAGAUAAACGUUUGAUCUUUUCACCUUUUGAUUUAAAUGAUGAAUUGUACUCUUAUCCCAUCUUAUCCUGUUUGUUAAUUUGUUCCAUAUAUAGCUCCUAGGGCCAUGGAGAAAUCCAAGAACCGGAACUAGCCAGUGGGUGAUAUCAAAGUGAACAUCUGAGCUGUGGGGAAAGAGGAGUGAGCUGCAAAAGUCGAAACUUGGAAAGAACGCUGGCUGGAUGGUAGCAUCACGUCGAGUAACUUGUCUUGUUGAUGUUUUGAUGUUUGAGUCGGGUCGUGUCAAGUCUGUUUAUUAUAAAACAUCUUAAAACUGGUUAAGACUGUUAGUAAUUUGUGGAGUUGAUUAAUGUUAUAGCCAAUUUAGUUGAAGUUUAAUUUGAUGAAUUUGUGAUGCUGAUAAUUCUUCGAUGCAUAUCCACCUCUUUUUUCAGCAAGGAUAAUUAGUCCUGUUCUUCAUUCAUUCGGGCCGGACAUAACUGCGCUUUUGACAUUGCAAAGCCCGACCCAGUAAACUCAGAUUUACAUAUAAAACUCGGCCAAAUGUCAUGCAUAAAUAUUUAUGCUCAAACAUCACAUGUUUUAAGUUUUCAUAACCUGCAGAAUGGAUUUACAACCGACCGACUCCGUCUUGUUGGAUUCUCUUCCUCUCUGCGCCUUGACGACCGCCCCACCGCCCCAUGUGGUGGCCUGUUAUAUAAAAUUGGUGGACGACAUUGUUCAAGGUGAUAACUUAGACAGCAUUGGAUAUAUAUUAACUGAACAAACAGUGUCUGUCUUGUGUUAAUAUUUGGUUUCAUUUGUCGUGUUGGUUAAAUAGGAUUUAGCUUCAGGUGACAGACAUCAUGUUUUGUUUUUACCACCAUUAACUUCUAGUAACUUAAUUAGUUUCUUAAACAGUUUUUAAUCCCCGAUUCGUGUUCAAAUGUGAAAUUCGACAGAACUUGUUUGUCCCUUGGAUCAGAAGGAUUAUCUGACAUAAUUUUGCACUCAGAAAUUUGUUAUUUUUAUGAUGUUUUUCCUUGUCUUUUUCUCUUGUAUUUCUUUUGGACUGGUGGGAUUCAGGGCUAAGUUGGUAUUCUCAUGCAUUUGAAAAAACCUACUUUUGAUCCGUUGCAAGAAUAAUAGGUUUAGAAUAAAGUUGAUGAGUAUUUGGUAAACUCGAGUUAUAACAAUGCUUGUAGCAAAAAAUACAAUGUCUGAGCACUGUUCACUCGUGUUUUGGGAUAAAAAGCUAAUUUUUGAAAGCAGUUAUUUUGCUGCUUCCAUUUUUCAGCUCUCUCUCUCACCGUAAUUUUUCAUUUAGUGGGCUUUUAUUCUGUUACCAAAUACAAUUUUGAGCUCAACUUUUUUUUUUUUUUUUCGCUCUUGUUUUUUUUUAAAAAAAAAAGAGUGCUAUUAAAAUUACUUCGUCUUAUUUUCUCACCAACCCACCAUUUAAUUAAAAUAUUAAUCACAUAUUUACCCAUUUAGCAAAAGACUUUUAAAUCCAUGUUUAUAUAUUUGUUAUAAUUUUAAUUAAAUAAACUAAAGCAGAAUAAAGAAAAACUAAAACUUACCAAAAUAAAAAUAAAUCCAUCGACAAGCACCACCCCAUUCUCCCUUUCAAUUCUAGUACUACCACCUCCAACCCCUCUUCCUCUUCCUCUUCCUCUUCCUCUUCCUCUUUAUUUGACGAACAACAACGGCCACCAGUCACGUGCAGAAUGGAGAUGCAACAAAUGAGGUAUCCAUGGAAGAGGACGAUGACAACCCAAAUCCUUAUUGGAAUGAAUCGAUUUGGAGCAAUCUGUCUCUUUAUUUGAGGGAGCAAUAUCCCCGUGCUUCUCUCUCUUUGUCCCCCGUGCUUUUGUCUUCCUCCCCCUCCUGUUUCUCUCUUUUUGCAAAGGAGAUGCCGCCAAGCAAGUGUCAAAGGUUUGGGUUUUUGAUGUGGAGGUGUUUAUGAGGCUAGGGAGGUGCGGUGUUGCAAUUAAGGAAGGAUGACGUGUGUUUUAGAAAAUGUAUUAAUAUUAUUCUUUGAAAAAAAAAUUAAAGGUUAUUUUAGGAAUAAUGGUGGGUGGAAAAAUAACAUUUUAACUUUUUAAUUUUUAUGGUAGGUGGGACAUAAUGUGGGUGUAAAAAUAGGAUAAUAGGGUAGAUCUAUAAGCAUUCUAAAAAAAUAUAAGCAAUACCAAACUGACAAUAAGAAAAAUAUAUUUGAACUCGAUUCUUUAAAAUGGUAACAAUUUUCACACUAUAUUUUCUGCUUCUACAAUUCUCCCCUUAUUCCUUGAUUCUUCUAUAAUUUAUUCAUCUAAAGGCUCGAAAAGAAAAGAGUAGUGCUAGCUGAAAAAAGAGAAUGCGAAAUUCAUUUUCUUUGGUUGGUUUUCUGAGGGGACUCGAACUUCAUAUUUGAAAUUAUAGGAUGAUUUUCAUGUACUCAAGAAAAAUAUAUUGUGGCAAAGACAAACCCAUUGUUCAAAAUUCACUUAAAUCAAAAUGGUAUCGUAUAUUAAGGUCCAAUUACAACAAUAUGUACCAAUUAGAUAAUACGAAUUUUAUACAAGAUUUAAUCGUGGUAAAGAUUCAUUAGACAUUACGUACUAUUAAAAAAAUUGCAUAUAUUGAAGCCAAAAGUAGAGUUUGCGCUUGCGGACUGCUUUGUUAAAAUUUGUAUGAUUCAAGUGAAUCUAUAAGAUAAAGCGCAUAUUUUCACAUGGCUGGAUAGAUAUAUUGACUUUUGAUGCAGCACAAGCAAAUCCUUCACCUUUCUUUUCUUGUGGCAGAAGAUCAAUAUUUGGUAGAUUUGCUAAUAAAGUAUAUAGUAUGAUCCAUCUUCUUAAGUGGAAUCAAUAAUAAUUCAAGAUUUAAUGGGUAUAUAUGUAUGUCAACAAUUAAAAUUAAAAAAAAAACAUUUUCUUAAAUAAAAUAAAAAUGCAUUAUCAUAAAUUAAGCUUUAUUUGUCAUUAUAUGUGAUGUGACAAUUAUCUCAACUUUAAUUAAUGAACCUUUUGACUUUUUUCCUGUGAAAUGUUGAUAAUUUUGGAUGGCAAAACUAUUAGCCUUGUGAUCUUGAAUUAUUGUGGAUUUAAGCCUAAUUUAAUUUAAUUUAAUUUAAUUUAAUUAUUGUGAGGUCAGUGAAUUAGUUAGUGUUAAGCAUAAUCAUGACAUUGCAUUUUAAUAAUAUAAAUUCCAAACUAAUAUUUUGAUUGGAGUUGGAUUUGUUAAUUUGUAGAUUCCAUCAAUCAUCAUGUUACUUUUGAUUUCAAUCAUAUGAAGUGGGUGGCUAUGAUGCUGCUUCUGACUAAUCACUUGAUUAAGUUGAAUUUUUUUGUCAUUGUCUUCCCAUUAUCCAUCUAUUAAGGAGAGUGGAACUUAAUUAGUGUGACAAAUUAAGGCAAAGAGAGUUCAACAAGGCUGUGGUAUUUGAUUUGUAGUACAAGCUUAAACUAGCACUUCUCUUUAGUGGUAACGCUUAAGGAUAUCCAAUAUCUAAUUAUCUUAAGGAUGAUUACAAUGAAUCUUAUUGUAUAUCAAAUCAAACUAAUAAUUUGAAUUUUGUUAAGUUGACAUCAGAAAUGUGACAUAAAAGAUUGCAAUUUAUAUAUGAUUUCACUCUUAUUUGCACCAAACAUUUUGCGAUAAAACUCAAUACUUGUCGAGUUGUGCAAGUUGUUAAGUUUAGACAAUAAUUAGUAAUAUACCGCUAAUAUGAUUGAAAAUCUUGACGAUUCUCAAAUCUUACUUCAGCACCCAAAAUCUUUCCUAUACAUUUUCAAUUUGGAAUUCUAAUAUCAUAGUUCACCUAUUAAUGGAUCUCAAAAUCUUCCACGUAUUUAAAAUAGUCAACUGAAAUUGACUUUUGGAUUCCUAACCCUUGCUUGUUUCAUUACCCAAAAUAUUCUUAUGCGCAUUUUCGAUGUGGGAAUUGGGUAAUAAAAACAAUUUAUCGUAUACUUUGUGUAGGGAUGACAA
rnacentral:lncRNA from 1 species